UACGUAGGAUGCGAGCGUUGUCCGGAAUUAUUGGGCGUAAAGCGAACGUAGGCGGCCUUUUAAGUCUGGUCUUAAAGACCGGGGCUCAACCCCGGGAGUGGACUGGAAACUGGGAGGCUGGAGGACGUCAGAGGGAAGUGGAAUUCCAAGUGUAGCGGUGAAAUGCGUAGAUAUUUGGAGGAACACCAGUGGCGAAAGCAGCUCUCUGGGACGGUACUGACACUGAGACGCGAAAGCGUGGGGAGCGAACAGG
rnacentral:rRNA from 1 species